rnacentral:rRNA from 1 species
GGGUUGUGAGGUUAAGCGACUAAGCGUACACGGUGGAUGCCCUGGCAGUCAGAGGCGAUGAAGGACGUGCUAAUCUGCGAUAAGCGUCGGUAAGGUGAUAUGAACCGUUAUAACCGGCGAUUUCCGAAUGGGGAAACCCAGUGUGAUUCGUCACACUAUCAUUAACUGAAUCCAUAGGUUAAUGAGGCGAACCGGGGGGAACUGAAACAUCUAAGUACCCCGAGGAAAAGAAAUCAACCGAGAUUCCCCCAGUAGCGGCGAGCGAACGGGGAGCAGCCCAGAGCCUGAAUCAGUGUGUGUGUUAGUGGAAGCGUCUGGAAAGGCGUGCGAUACAGGGUGACAGCCCCGUACACAAAAAUGCACAUACUGUGAGCUCGAUGAGUAGGGCGGGACACGUGGUAUCCUGUCUGAAUAUGGGGGGACCAUCCUCCAAGGCUAAAUACUCCUGACUGACCGAUAGUGAACCAGUACCGUGAGGGAAAGGCGAAAAGAACCCCGGCGAGGGGAGUGAAAAAGAACCUGAAACCGUGUACGUACAAGCAGUGGGAGCACGCUUAGGCGUGUGACUGCGUACCUUUUGUAUAAUGGGUCAGCGACUUAUAUUCUGUAGCAAGGUUAACCGAAUAGGGGAGCCGAAGGGAAACCGAGUCUUAACUGGGCGUUAAGUUGCAGGGUAUAGACCCGAAACCCGGUGAUCUAGCCAUGGGCAGGUUGAAGGUUGGGUAACACUAACUGGAGGACCGAACCGACUAAUGUUGAAAAAUUAGCGGAUGACUUGUGGCUGGGGGUGAAAGGCCAAUCAAACCGGGAGAUAGCUGGUUCUCCCCGAAAGCUAUUUAGGUAGCGCCUCGUGAAUUCAUCUCCGGGGGUAGAGCACUGUUUCGGCAAGGGGGUCAUCCCGACUUACCAACCCGAUGCAAACUGCGAAUACCGGAGAAUGUUAUCACGGGAGGCACACGGCGGGUGCUAACGUCCGUCGUGAAGAGGGAAACAACCCAGACCGCCAGCUAAGGUCCCAAAGUCAUGGUUAAGUGGGAAACGAUGUGGGAAGGCCCAGACAGCCAGGAUGUUGGCUUAGAAGCAGCCAUCAUUUAAAGAAAGCGUAAUAGCUCACUGGUCGAGUCGGCCUGCGCGGAAGAUGUAACGGGGCUAAACCAUGCACCGAAGCUGCGGCAGCGACGCUUAUGCGUUGUUGGGUAGGGGAGCGUUCUGUAAGCCUGUGAAGGUGUACUGUGAGGUAUGCUGGAGGUAUCAGAAGUGCGAAUGCUGACAUAAGUAACGAUAAAGCGGGUGAAAAGCCCGCUCGCCGGAAGACCAAGGGUUCCUGUCCAACGUUAAUCGGGGCAGGGUGAGUCGACCCCUAAGGCGAGGCCGAAAGGCGUAGUCGAUGGGAAACAGGUUAAUAUUCCUGUACUUGGUGUUACUGCGAAGGGGGGACGGAGAAGGCUAUGUUGGCCGGGCGACGGUUGUCCCGGUUUAAGCGUGUAGGCUGGUUUUCCAGGCAAAUCCGGAAAAUCAAGGCCGAGGCGUGAUGACGAGGCACUACGGUGCUGAAGCAACAAAUGCCCUGCUUCCAGGAAAAGCCUCUAAGCAUCAGGUAACAUCAAAUCGUACCCCAAACCGACACAGGUGGUCAGGUAGAGAAUACCAAGGCGCUUGAGAGAACUCGGGUGAAGGAACUAGGCAAAAUGGUGCCGUAACUUCGGGAGAAGGCACGCUGAUACGUAGGUGAAGCGACUUGCUCGUGGAGCUGAAAUCAGUCGAAGAUACCAGCUGGCUGCAACUGUUUAUUAAAAACACAGCACUGUGCAAACACGAAAGUGGACGUAUACGGUGUGACGCCUGCCCGGUGCCGGAAGGUUAAUUGAUGGGGUUAGCGCAAGCGAAGCUCUUGAUCGAAGCCCCGGUAAACGGCGGCCGUAACUAUAACGGUCCUAAGGUAGCGAAAUUCCUUGUCGGGUAAGUUCCGACCUGCACGAAUGGCGUAAUGAUGGCGAGGCUGUCUCCACCCGAGACUCAGUGAAAUUGAACUCGCUGUGAAGAUGCAGUGUACCCGCGGCAAGACGGAAAGACCCCGUGAACCUUUACUAUAGCUUGACACUGAACAUUGAGCCUUGAUGUGUAGGAUAGGUGGGAGGCUUUGAAGUGUGGACGCCAGUCUGCAUGGAGCCGACCUUGAAAUACCACCCUUUAAUGUUUGAUGUUCUAACGUGGACCCGUAAUCCGGGUUGCGGACAGUGUCUGGUGGGUAGUUUGACUGGGGCGGUCUCCUCCUAAAGAGUAACGGAGGAGCACGAAGGUUGGCUAAUCCUGGUCGGACAUCAGGAGGUUAGUGCAAUGGCAUAAGCCAGCUUGACUGCGAGCGUGACGGCGCGAGCAGGUGCGAAAGCAGGUCAUAGUGAUCCGGUGGUUCUGAAUGGAAGGGCCAUCGCUCAACGGAUAAAAGGUACUCCGGGGAUAACAGGCUGAUACCGCCCAAGAGUUCAUAUCGACGGCGGUGUUUGGCACCUCGAUGUCGGCUCAUCACAUCCUGGGGCUGAAGUAGGUCCCAAGGGUAUGGCUGUUCGCCAUUUAAAGUGGUACGCGAGCUGGGUUUAGAACGUCGUGAGACAGUUCGGUCCCUAUCUGCCGUGGGCGCUGGAGAACUGAGGGGGGCUGCUCCUAGUACGAGAGGACCGGAGUGGACGCAUCACUGGUGUUCGGGUUGUCAUGCCAAUGGCACUGCCCGGUAGCUAAAUGCGGAAGAGAUAAGUGCUGAAAGCAUCUAAGCACGAAACUUGCCCCGAGAUGAGUUCUCCCUGACCCUUUAAGGGUCCUGAAGGAACGUUGAAGACGACGACGUUGAUAGGCCGGGUGUGUAAGCGCAGCGAUGCGUUGAGCUAACCGGUACUAAUGAACCGUGAGGCUUAACCUUACAACGCCGAAG